rnacentral:rRNA from 1 species
UACGUAGGGUGCGAGCGUUAAUCGGAAUCACUGGGCGUAAAGCGUGCGCAGGCGGUUUUGUAAGUCCGAUGUGAAAGCCCCGGGCUCAACCUGGGAAUGGCAUUUGGGACUGCAAGGCUUGAGUGCGGCAGAGGAGACUGGAAUUCCUGGUGUAGCAGUGAAAUGCGUAGAUAUCAGGAGGAAUACCGAUGGCGAAAGCAGGUCUCUGGGCUGACACUGACGCUCAUGCACGAAAGCGUGGGGAGCAAACAGG